rnacentral:rRNA from 1 species
UGGGGAAUUUUGGACAAUGGGGGCAACCCUGAUCCAGCCAUGCCGCGUGCGGGAAGAAGGCCUUCGGGUUGUAAACCGCUUUUGUCCGGGAAGAAAAGGCAUCUCCUAAUACGGGGUGCUCUUGACGGUACUGGAAGAAUAAGCACCGGCUAACUACGUGCCAGCAGCCGCGGUAAUACGUAGGGUGCGAGCGUUAAUCGGAAUUACUGGGCGUAAAGCGUGCGCAGGCGGUUCGUCAAGUCUGAUGUGAAAGCCCCGGGCUCAACCUGGGAACUGCAUUGGAUACUAGCGAGCUUGAGUGUGGCAGAGGGGGGUGGAAUUCCACGUGUAGCAGUGAAAUGCGUAGAGAUGUGGAGGAACACCGAUGGCGAAGGCAGCCCCCUGGGCUGACACUGACGCUCAGGCACGAAAGCGUGGGGAGCAAACAG